AGAUUGAACGCUGGCGGCAUGCCUUACACAUGCAAGUCGAACGGUAACAGGUUAAGCUGACGAGUGGCGAACGGGUGAGUAAUACAUCGGAACGUGCCCAGACGUGGGGGAUAGCUCGGCGAAAGCCGGAUUAAUACCGCAUAAGCUCUGAGGAGGAAAGCGGGGGACCGUAAGGCCUCGCGCGUUUGGAGCGGCCGAUGGCAGAUUAGGUAGUUGGUGGGGUAAAGGCUUACCAAGCCUACGAUCUGUAGCUGGUCUGAGAGGACGACCAGCCACACUGGGACUGAGACACGGCCCAGACUCCUACGGGAGGCAGCAGUGGGGAAUUUUGGACAAUGGGCGAAAGCCUGAUCCAGCAAUGCCGCGUGCAGGAUGAAGGCCUUCGGGUUGUAAACUGCUUUUGUACGGAACGAAAAGGCGCCUACUAAUACUGGGUGUUGAUGACGGUACCGUAAGAAUAAGCACCGGCUAACUACGUGCCAGCAGCCGCGGUAAUACGUAGGGUGCAAGCGUUAAUCGGAAUUACUGGGCGUAAAGCGUGCGCAGGCGGUGUUGUAAGACAGUUGUGAAAUCCCCGGGCUCAACCUGGGAACUGCAUCUGUGACUGCAAUGCUGGAGUGCGGCAGAGGGGGAUGGAAUUCCGCGUGUAGCAGUGAAAUGCGUAGAUAUGCGGAGGAA
rnacentral:rRNA from 1 species